rnacentral:lncRNA from 1 species
GCUUCCCACCCAGGAUUGUGACAGACUGGGUGUGGUGACCCAUGAGACUCUGGGCCAGAAUUCCAAGAUCUGGAACCGCUGUGUUGGGUAUAGGGGGGUGGACACUGCAACCAGGGCGACCUGGGUUGAGUCCAAACUGCCCACUUCUGACAGCCUGGGGGGCUCGGGCCUGCCAUUUGCCCUCUCUGAGCCUCAGUUCCCGCAUCCAUAUGAGGGGAAGGAACAACACCCCUAUGAAAGUCACCUCCACGAAGCUCCUGCUGCAGGGAGGGAGAUGACAAGGAAGCAAACAGGUGGCUGAAACAAUUCAGAGACCGUGGCUGGACUGAUGACCACAGCUGCCCCUCGGUGUCCUAACUCUGCCACGUCUGCCUGUGACUCAUCUAACACCCCCUACAUACAAAAGUCUUAGGAAAUGGACAAUAUUAUUACCCACCAUUUCAUUGAUGGGGAAACUGAGGCACAGAGAAGUUAGGUCACCUACCCAAGGCCACGUGGCAGCGACAGGAGCUGAACUGAGGCUGUCUGGCUCCAGAGUCCUGUCUUCUAGUCACUUUGCUCUGUUGUAGUGUGUGCAUGUGUGCAUGCAUGAGUGUGUAUAUGUGUGUGCAAGCCUAUAUGUAUGUGAGUGUGGGCACUCAUGCCUGUGUGUGCACAGCUGUACGUGUGUGUGUGCCUGUGCACACACAUGAGUAUGAGAUCAGGGGGCUAGUCCUCAGAGCAUGUGACUGGGGUGGGGCUUGUCAGAGGAGGUGACAUUUGGGCUAGAACGAAUGAGGCAAGCACAAUGAGACCUUGAGGGAGCCCCAGGUGAGGGCCUGUGCAAAGGCCCUGAGGGAUCGGAGGACAGACUUUCCAGAACGGACGGACCACUGCCCCAGGAUGCCCCAUGACACACGGGCUCCCCUCCCGCUGUGAGGAAUGCCAGCCGGGGGCGGGUGAGCUGAGCAGGGUGGAAGAGCCGGGGCUCCUGACCGACUCGCCCGGGCUUUGAGAGCGAGGCUGGCCCCUGCUCCCCGCUGGGGGUCCAGGGAGCUGCUCCCUGCCAGCCACGUAGGCCCCCUGCCCGGCUCCAGGCUGAGCUGGGUUUCUGGGGCCGCCCCACUCCAGGCCGCCGUCGGCAGCUCCCAGCCCCGUCCACCCCGGUGUCUCCCCUCCACCCCGCACCCCCCCGCUCCU